rnacentral:rRNA from 1 species
GUGGGGAAUCUUGCGCAAUGGGCGAAAGCCUGACGCAGCCAUGCCGCGUGAAUGAUGAAGGUCUUAGGAUUGUAAAAUUCUUUCACCGGGGACGAUAAUGACGGUACCCGGAGAAGAAGCCCCGGCUAACUUCGUGCCAGCAGCCGCGGUAAUACGAAGGGGGCUAGCGUUGCUCGGAAUUACUGGGCGUAAAGGGCGCGUAGGCGGACAGUUUAGUCAGAGGUGAAAGCCCAGGGCUCAACCUUGGAAUUGCCUUUGAUACUGGCUGUCUUGAGUACGGGAGAGGUGAAUGGAACUCCGAGUGUAGAGGUGAAAUUCGUAGAUAUUCGGAAGAACACCAGUGGCGAAGGCGACUCACUGGCCCGUUACUGACGCUGAGGCGCGAAAGCGUGGGGAGCAAACAGGAUUAGAUACCCCUGUAGUCC